CCUAGAUGCAAUCUCGUCGCCUGGUCCUCCGCCGUGCACCUCUUCGCCGGCGACCCGCUCGCGCCGCGCCCCAGGGUGACCGUCUGCAAGGACGCCGCCGCCUUCUCGCCCUCCUUCCGCUGUGACGGCGCGCUGCUCGCCGCCGGCGACGGGCGGGGCUUCGUGCGCGUCUUCCGCGUCGACAAGCCCACCACGGGCCCGCUCCGAACCCUCUCCGCCCACGUCGCCAAGGUCCGCGUCGUCCGCUACCCGAGGCCGGCGGCGACAAGGUCCACCUCCUCACCCCUACAGCUGAUGCUCCCGCACUCUGCUCUGGCCCUCCGCUCUGUGGCUAUCCUUCAGGCAUAAUUUUGAGGCCCUGACGAUACUGGCACCACGCUGCCCAGGCUGAUUUUUCUUUAAACAGCAAAACUAGACUACGAGAAGGAGAACUCAACAAGAGGAUAGCACUGGCCGGUGGUGUCGCUGUCAUUCAGGUGGGAGGACAGACAUAAUUUGAACUUAAAGAGAGGUUGGGAGUUGAGGAUGCUCUAAUGUAACUAGGUGGGUGUCAAUGACAUCAUUGUUACCGAGAAGAUCAUUCGGUGGUGGUGACCCAUAUGAUGGCGAUUCGCUCCGGCCAUUCCAGUUUUGGCGGUGGUGGUGCUGCUGCUCCUAUGAUGGUAGACUCGUCUGAUUUCCCUAGCCGCAUCCAUGGUGAUGAAGCUCGGCCUAGGCUAGAACCCCCUCCGAUUUGCUUAAGAUCACGGAAGCUUGGGUUGAUGGAGUGCUUGUAUUUAGUUUUUGUUU